rnacentral:tRNA from 1 species
UGUAAGUUUAUUCUCUUACAAUUAGUACUUGUAUUUUAAUGAUAUUAUUUUAGGAUUAUUAGGUAGAAUUU